rnacentral:tRNA from 1 species
ACCUUCGUGGUGUAAUGGUAGCACACUCGGCGCAUAUUCGAGAGGUCCAGGUUCGAGUCCUGGCGAGGGCA